CCUACGGGCGGCUGCAGUGAGGAAUAUUGGUCAAUGGACGAGAGUCUGAACCAGCCAAGUAGCGUGAAGGAUGACUGCCCUAGGGGUUGUAAACUUCUUUUAUAAAGGAAUAAAACGAGGCAAGUGUGCCUUUUUGCAUGUACGUUAUGAAUAAGGAUCGGCGAAAUCAGUGCCAGCAGCCGCGGUAAUACGGAGGGUCCGAGGGGUAUCCGGAUUUAUUGGGUGUAAAGGGAGCGUAGAUGGGUUGUUAAGUCAGGUGUGAAAGUUUGCGGCUCAACCGUAAAAUUGCAAUUGAGACUGGCAGUCUUGAGUACAGUUGAGGUAGGCGGAAUUCGUGGUGUAGCGGUGAAAUGCUUAGAUAUCACGAAGAACCCCGAUUGCGAAGGCAGCUUACUAAACUGUGACUGACGUUGAUGCUCGAAAGUGUGGGUAUCAAACAGGAUUAGAUACCCGUGUAGUC
rnacentral:rRNA from 1 species